rnacentral:rRNA from 1 species
UACGGAGGGUGCGAACGUUAAUCGGAAUCACUGGGCGUAAAGCGCGUGUAGGCGGCCUUGCAAGUUGGGUGUGAAAGCCCUCGGCUUAACCGAGGAAGUGCGCCCAAAACUACGAGGCUUGAGUGCCGGAGAGGGUGGCGGAAUUCCCGGUGUAGAGGUGAAAUUCGUAGAUAUCGGGAGGAACACCAGUGGCGAAGGCGGCCACCUGGACGGUAACUGACGCUGAGACGCGAAAGCGUGGGGAGCAAACAGG